rnacentral:rRNA from 1 species
UAGGGAAUCUUCGGCAAUGGACGAAAGUCUGACCGAGCAACGCCGCGUGAGUGAAGAAGGUUUUCGGAUCGUAAAACUCUGUUGGUAGAGAAGAACGUUGGUGAGAGUGGAAAGCUCAUCAAGUGACGGUAACUACCCAGAAAGGGACGGCUAACUACGUGCCAGCAGCCGCGGUAAUACGAAGGUCCCGAGCGUUGUCCGGAUUUAUUGGGCGUAAAGCGAGCGCAGGUGGUUUAUUAAGUCUGGUGUAAAAGGCAGUGGCUCAACCAUUGUAUGCAUUGGAAACUUGUAGACUUGAGUGCAGGAGAGGAGAGUGGAAUUCCAUGUGUAGCGGUGAAAUGCGUAGAUAUAUGGAGGAACACCGGUGGCGAAAGCGGCUCUCUGGCCUGUAACUGAAACUGAGGCUCGAAAGCGUGGGGAGCAAACA